UCUCCUACGGGGGGCAGCAGUGGGGAAUAUUGCACAAUGGGGGAAACCCUGAUGCAGCGACGCCGCGUGAGUGAAGAAGUAUCUCGGUAUGUAAAGCUCUAUCAGCAGGGAAGAAAAUGACGGUACCUGACUAAGAAGCCCCGGCUAACUACGUGCCAGCAGCCGCGGCAAUACGUAGGGGGCAAGCGUUAUCCGGAUUUACUGGGUGUAAAGGGAGCGUAGACGGCGCUGCAAGUCCGGAGUGAAAGCCCAUG
rnacentral:rRNA from 1 species